rnacentral:rRNA from 1 species
UGGGGAAUUUUGCACAAUGGGGGAAACCCUGAUGCAGCGACGCCGCGUGAUUUAGAAGGCCUUCGGGUUGUAAAAAUCUUUUCUAUGGGAAGAAAAUGACAGUACCAUAGGAAUAAGGACCGGCUAAUUACGUGCCAGCAGCCGCGGUAAUACGUAAGGUCCGAGCGUUGUCCGGAAUCAUUGGGCGUAAAGGGUACGUAGGCGGGUAAGCAAGUUAGAAGUGAAAUCCUAUAGCUCAACUAUAGUAAGCUUUUAAAACUGCUCAUCUUGAGGUAUGGAAGGGAAAGUGGAAUUCCUAGUGUAGCGGUGAAAUGCGCAGAUAUUAGGAGGAAUACCGGUGGCGAAGGCGACUUUCUGGCCACAACCUGACGCUGAGGUACGAAAGCGUGGGUAGCAAACAGG